GCAAUAGAAACCUUGGUUACAAUCCACUUAUCUUUAUCUUUAUCUUCAGCUUCAGAUUUAACAACAUCAGAAUUUCUCACUGACAAAUGUUGUGGCUUGUCAGCUGAAGGUGAUGAGGAGUCAUCUAUCAGAGGCGGCACAACAUUAGGAGUCUCUGAAAGAUUUUCUUGCGCGCAUUCUGCAAUUAUCUCAUACUCCUUGCUUGAUAGAGCAGCUUUUAAUUCUUCAAUCUUGAUAGCAACUUCAACACUAGGAAUUUGAUGUAAUAGGUCCCGCAGUGAUCGCAGUAUAACAAUUGAAA
rnacentral:misc_RNA from 1 species